UCGCGAUCUUUGCUGAGUUUUGUGAGUGGGCUUCCGGGACGAUACUCGUUGUAAUGACUGAAUCCCCGCAACGGGAAGCUUUUUAAAGGCAGUUUCGGUUGCUCACCGGAAAUGGUUGUGAACGGACUGGACAGAAUGAUGAUCUGCAGGUCCAUGAGGAGCCACCAUGAUUCCGCCCAUUGUGUUUGACAGACAACCUUCUGAAAA